CGGUAAUACGGAGGAGGCAAGCGUUGUUCGGAAUCAUUGGGCUUAAAGCGCGUGUAGGCGGACCAGUAAGUGUCUUGUGAAAGCCCUCGGCUCAACCGAGGAAUUGCUGGGCAUACUGCUAGUCUUGAGGCAGGUAGGGGCGGGUGGAACUCUAGGUGGAGCGGUGAAAUGCGUAGAUAUCUAGAGGAACGCCGGUGGCGAAAGCGACCCGCUGGGCCUGUUCUGACGCUGAGACGCGAAAGCGUAGGGAGCGAACGGGAUUAGAUACCCCGGUAGUCUACGCCGUAAACGAUGCGCACUAGGUGCAAGGGCUUCUGACGGUUCUUGGGCCGAAGCAAAAGUGAUAAGUGCGCCGCCUGGGGAGUACGGCCGCAAGGCUAAAACUCAAAGGAAUUGACGGGGGCUCACACAAGCGGUGGAGCAUGUGGAUUAAUUCGAAGCAACGCGAAGAACCCUACCUGGGUUUGACAUGCCUGGAUACGUCCCUUGAAAGAGGGAGCCGUUGCCCUUUGGGUGAAACAGGCACAGGUGCUGCAUGGCUGUCGUCAGCUCGUGCUGUGAAGUGUCGGGUUAAGUCCCUUAACGAGCGAAACCCUUAUCGCUAGUUGCCAGCGGGUAAUGCCGGGGACUCUAGCGAGACUGCCGGUGUCAAACCGGAGGAAGGUGGGGAUGACGUCAAGUCCUCAUGGCCUUUACGCCCAGGGUGUCACACGUGCUACAAUGGGGUGAACAGAGCGAAGCGAGCCGGCGACGGGGAGCAAAUCGCAGAAAUCACCUCUCAGUUCGGAUUGGAGUCUGCAAUUCGACUCCAUGAAGUUGGAAUCGCUAGUAAUCGCGUAUCAGCCACGACGCGGUGAAUAUGUUCCUGAG
rnacentral:rRNA from 1 species